rnacentral:rRNA from 1 species
CACCUUAGGGAUUCCCUUAGUACGGCGAGUGACCGGGAUGAGCUCAAAUUUAAAAUCUGGCGUCUUUCAGGCGUCCGAGUUGUAAUCUAUAGAGGCGUUUUCCGCGCCGGACCGCGUCCAAGUCUCUUGGAAUAGAGUAUCAAAGAGGGUGACAAUCCCGUACUUGACGCGACAACCGGUGCUCUGUGAUACGUUCUCAAUGAGUCGAGUUGUUUGGGAAUGCAGCUCUAAAUGGGUGGUAAAUUCCAUCUAAGGCUAAAUAUUGGCGAGAGACCGAUAGCGAACAAGUACCGUGAGGGAAAGAUGAAAAGCACUUUGGAAAGAGAGUUAAACAGCACGUGAAAUUGUUAAAAGGGAAACGAUUGAAGUCAGUCGUGUGAAAGGUAUUCAGCCGUCUCUGGCGGUGUAUUUGCCUUUCACGGGUCAACAUCAGUUUGAUCCGGUAGAAAAAGGCGGGAGGAAGGUGGCACCCUCGGGUGUGUUAUAGCCUCCUGUCAUAUGUGCCGGACCAGACUGAGGAACGCAGCUUGCCGCAAGGCCGGGGUUCGCCCACGUACAAGCUUAGGAUGUUGACAUAAUGGCUUUAAACGACCCGUCUUGAAACACGGACCA